GGCAACCAAGUGACGUCAACAACGUCGAGGAAACGUCAGUAUUUGGUGGAAUAUAUACACGUGGUUGAACAUUACGUCAUAUCGACGUCUUUUGUAGGUGAUUUUCAAUACGUAAGAUUAAUGACGUUAAAAUACGUUUAAAAGACGUUUUCAUUUCAGCCAGCCUAAGUCUGACGUCACGAAAUUGGGAGGAGCUUGGAGCUUAAAAGUUACAAAACUAAGGUUAUGUUUUAUGUUUGUAUCGUCGUUGUCGUUUGUUUGUCCUAGUAUUUUAUCAUAUUUUGGAUUCAUUUGGAUUUUGUUGGCUGUUUUGUGUGUAUUUUUUAAAACUUUUGUUUGUCAUUUGUAAAUUUUAUAAAUUUACCACAAUGCAAAGUGACUAUUUAAGGAAAUUAUUAUUGGAAACUCCGCAGAUGUUUUAGAAAGAUAUUCAUUGAAGCUGAAAAUAAUUGGAGAUUUAGAUCCAUAUACAAUUCAGUCAUCAGAAUUGGAUUUUACAGUGCAUUCCAUUAAUUACUAUAUAAUGCUAUUAUAGAUAGACUGGUAGAGUCUCACAGUUACUACUUUAAGCAGCAGAUGAAAGUAUACAAAAGCCUUCAGACACAUAAAAGCCUUCACAACUGGAUUUGUUUUGAAACAUUUGAUGUUUUGAUGAUUUCUAUAUUAUUGUUGGAAAGGUGAAGAAUUCCCAAAAAGCUAAUGCUAAACCACUAGAUGCUUGGGUGAUAGCCAGUUCCAAUGGCAUAGCAAAUGCACCUUGUAUGUGUAUUGCCGGUAAUAGUGAAGUUUGCAGCCAUAUUGCAGCAAUCUUAUUUGCAGCUGAGUAUGCCCACAGCAAGACAGAAGAAGAAGAACCCAGUGCAUGUACAGAUGUUACAGCUAUGUAUAUUCUCUGGUGAAAAACUAAUGAGUUUUCAAGCUGUUCAGUCAGAGUGCUUGUUGCGCUCUCUAAACGAACUGAAAUAUAAGACGGCUUUGGCUUCAUGUUGCAGCGAUAUGAAAAUGGUUAGUCAUUUUUAAUUAUAAUGUACUUCUUCAUCAUGAGUAUUUAUGUAUAGGGCUUUUCAUUCACAGUCAUUUGUUUCGAGCUUCUGUCAUGUGUAACAUAAUAUUAAUAUUAUAUU